AGUGGCGGACGGGUGAGUAACGCGUGAGGAUCUGCCCUUAGGAUGGGGACAACAGUUGGAAACGACUGCUAAUACCCAAUGUGCCGAAAGGUGAAAGCUUUAGCGCCUGAGGAUGAACUCGCGUCUGAUUAGCUAGUUGGUAGUGUAAUGGACUACCAAGGCGACGAUCAGUAGCUGGUCUGAGAGGAUGAUCAGCCACACUGGGACUGAGACACGGCCCAGACUCCUACGGGAGGCAGCAGUGGGGAAUUUUCCGCAAUGGGCGAAAGCCUGACGGAGCAACGCCGCGUGGGGGAAGACGGCUCGUGGGUUGUAAACCUCUUUUCUCUAGGAAGAAGAACUGACGGUACUAGAGGAAUCAGCAUCGGCUAACUCCGUGCCAGCAGCCGCGGUAAUACGGAGGAUGCAAGCGUUAUCCGGAAUUAUUGGGCGUAAAGCGUCCGUAGGCGGUUUUACAAGUCUGCUGUUAAAGCGUGCAGCUCAACUGCAUAUAGGCAGUGGAAACUGUAAGACUAGAGUGUAGUAGGGGUAGAGGGAAUUCCCAGUGUAGCGGUGAAAUGCGUAGAUAUUGGGAAGAACACCGGUGGCGAAAGCGCUCUACUGGGUUACAACUGACGCUGAUGGACGAAAGCUAGGGGAGCGAAAGGGAUUAGAUACCCCUGUAGUCCUAGCCGUAAACGAUGGACACUAGGUGUUG
rnacentral:rRNA from 1 species